UGUCCAUAAGCUGCUCACACUGGUGGUGGU
rnacentral:piRNA from 1 species